CUGUAAUAUCUGAUAGUACUGUUAACUCUUAUUUGGACUCAGGGAAGAAUCACAGUGUAGCAGAAAAAUGACAUUGUUAUUUGUCUUUUUCCAAGCCAUACCAAUGUCCAAUAAAACUGUAUUUCUCUAGCUGAGGUUCAGUCCAAGGAGCUGCAGUAGUAUCUACUCACACUCAUUCCUUUCUCCUGGUUCUUUGGUGAUGCCAAAGAGAUGCUCACACUACCACCCUCUUUGACACUGACUUUCAUCUUCUGUGCAGAUCCCUAUUACCUCAGAUGUUUCCCAGUGUUGUUCCAAGGCCUUUACUCAUACUCUCCUCCGCUCAGCUCUCAGUUCCCUACAUCUGGAUCAUUUGGCUUAACUUCCUGAAAUCUCACAAAAAUACAGACAAUUCAGCAGAUCUAUGGUGAAGCACGAGAUUAUGCAUUUCCACCGAGUUACCAGGCAAGGCCCAUCCUGUGAUACCAUAGUUUGAGUAGAAAGGUUCUGUGACACACU
rnacentral:lncRNA from 1 species